AAUGAACGCUGGCGGCAUGCCUAACACAUGCAAGUCGAACGAAGGCUUCGGCCUUAGUGGCGCACGGGUGCGUAACGCGUGGGAAUCUGCCCUUGGGUUCGGAAUAACAGUUAGAAAUGACUGCUAAUACCGGAUGAUGUCGUAAGACCAAAGAUUUAUCGCCCAAGGAUGAGCCCGCGUAGGAUUAGCUAGUUGGUGGGGUAAAGGCCCACCAAGGCGACGAUCCUUAGCUGGUCUGAGAGGAUGAUCAGCCACACUGGGACUGAGACACGGCCCAGACUCCUACGGGAGGCAGCAGUGGGGAAUAUUGGACAAUGGGCGAAAGCCUGAUCCAGCGAUGCCGCGUGAGUGAUGAAGGCCUUAGGGUUGUAAAGCUCUUUUACCCGGGAUGAUAAUGACAGUACCGGGAGAAUAAGCUCCGGCUAACUUCGUGCCAGCCGCCGCAGUAA
rnacentral:rRNA from 1 species